rnacentral:rRNA from 1 species
UACGGAGGGUGCAAGCGUUAUCCGGAUUCAUUGGGCGUAAAGCGCGCGUAGGCGGCCCUGUUAGUCCGCUGUAAAAGUCAAAGGCUCAACCUUUGAAUGCCGGUGGAUACUGCAGGGCUAGAGUCCGGAAGAGGAGUGUGGAAUUCCUGGUGUAGCGGUGAAAUGCGCAGAUAUCAGGAGGAACACCAAUGGCGAAGGCAGCACUCUGGGACAUGACUGACGCUGAGACGCGAAAGCGUGGGGAGCAAACAGG